rnacentral:tRNA from 1 species
GCGGCCGUCGUCUAGCAUGGUCUAGGACGCUGGCCUCCCGAGCCAGCGACCCGGGUUCAAAUCCCGGCGGCCGCA